rnacentral:rRNA from 1 species
CAAUAGCGUAUAUUAAAGUUGUUGCGGUAAAAAAGCUCGUAGUUGGAUUUCUACCGAAGAUAGCCGGUCGGGUCUUCGACCUUGUAUCUGGUUUUGUCUUUGGUAUCCUCAUAGGGAACGUUUCUUCGCUUUAUUGCGUGGUGCGGUAUCUAUGACUUUUACUUUGAGGAAAUUAGAGUGUUCACGGCAGGCAAACGCCUUGAAUAUAUUAGCAUGGAAUAAUAACAUAGGAUCUUCGUCCUAUUUUGUUGGUUUCUAGGGCUAAGAUAAUGAUUAAUAGGGAUAAUUGGGGGCAUCUGUAUCAACGCGUCAGAGGUGGAAUUCUUGGAUUGCGUUGCGACAAACUACUGCGAAAGCAUUUGCCAAGGAUGUUUUCAUUGA